AUUGAACGCUGGCGGCAGGCCUAACACAUGCAAGUCGAGCGGAUGAGAAGAGCUUGCUCUUCGAUUCAGCGGCGGACGGGUGAGUAAUGCCUAGGAAUCUGCCUGGUAGUGGGGGACAACGUCUCGAAAGGGACGCUAAUACCGCAUACGUCCUACGGGAGAAAGCAGGGGACCUUCGGGCCUUGCGCUAUCAGAUGAGCCUAGGUCGGAUUAGCUUGUUGGUGAGGUAAUGGCUCACCAAGGCGACGAUCCGUAACUGGUCUGAGAGGAUGAUCAGUCACACUGGAACUGAGACACGGUCCAGACUGCUACGGGAGGCAGCAGUGGGGAAUAUUGGACAAUGGGCGAAAGCCUGAUCCAGCCAUGCCGCGUGUGUGAAGUAGGUCUUCGGAUUGUAAAGCACUUUAAGUUGGGAGGAAGGGCAGUCAGCGAAUACCUGGUUGUUUUGACGUUACCGACAGAAUAAGCACCGGCUAACUCUGUGCCAGCCGCCGCCGUAACAC
rnacentral:rRNA from 1 species